GAAUAACUUAAUUUUAAAAUUCUGAAACAAAACUUACUUUGAUUAAUCUAAUUGUUUCCGAUGCUUCUCACUUAUCGCGCCUCUCAGUCUCACCUUCAUUUCUAAAACGCUUCUCAUUUCUGCACAUUCUUGUUCGAGAGCUUCUCACUACCAAGUUUCUUCUUCGAGCAUAAUCUUGACGCCAAUCAAACAGUGUGACCUUCAACUACUGAACGUGGAUACCGUCGUAGUUCAAAAGGAGUUUACUAGGAGCAACAAUCCAGUGACUUGUCCUUGUUGUGAGAAGUGGAGUUCCUAACAUUUGUGCUGUUGCAUUAGCUCUCAGUGAUUUAGGCAUGCUUACAAUCCGGACGAGGAGUAUACUGAGGUGGAAUCUGAACUGCGAGCGCAUUUAGAAUCUUUCCUAGAAACUGCUAGAUCAUUCAACGUGAUUUACACCAAGGAAAUUCGUCCAUGGACACAUAUGAUGGAGGUUCCACAACUUCACGGGUUUGGACCAGCUGCCGAUCGAUUAUUGGAGGCGUACAAAAGGCUUUUAAAGGUAACCUUUCUCUGCUUGGCAAAAAUAUUUUUCUUAAAA